CUACGGGAGGCAGCAGUAGGGAAUAUUGGUCAAUGGGCGAAAGCCUGAACCAGCCAUGCCGCGUGAGUGACGAAGGCCUUCGGGUCGUAAAACUCUUUUCUGAGGGAAGAACAACCGAGGUAGGAAAUGACCUUGGCCUGACGGUACCUCAGGAAUAAGCAACGGCUAACUCCGUGCCAGCAGCCGCGGUAAUACGGAGGUUGCGAGCGUUGUUCGGAAUAACUGGGCGUAAAGGGAGCGCAGGCGGUUUGGUAAGUCCAAAGUGAAAGCCCGGGGCUCAACCCCGGAAGUGCUUCGGAUACUGCCUUACUUGAGUUCGUGAGAGGAAAGCGGAAUUCCAGGUGUAGCGGUGAAAUGCGUAGAUAUCUGGAGGAACACCGGUGGCGAAAGCGGCUUUCUGGCACGAUACUGACGCUGAGGCUCGAAAGCGUGGGGAGCAAACGGGAUUAGAUACCCGGGUAGUCCG
rnacentral:rRNA from 1 species